rnacentral:rRNA from 1 species
AUUGAACGCUGGCGGCAUGCUUUACACAUGCAAGUCGAACGGCAGCGCGGGCUUCGGCUUGGCGGCGAGUGGCGAACGGGUGAGUAAUACAUCGGAACGUGCCCAGUAGUGGGGGAUAGCUCGGCGAAAGCCGGAUUAAUACCGCAUACGACCUGAGGGUGAAAGCGGGGGAUCUUCGGACCUUGCGCUCUUGGAGCGGUCGAUGGCGGAUUAGCUAGUUGGUGGGGUAAAGGCCUACCAAGGCGACGAUCUGUAGCUGGUCUGAGAGGACGACCAGCCACACUGGGACUGAGACACGGCCCAGACUCCUACGGGAGGCAGCAGUGGGGAAUUUUGGACAAUGGGCGAAAGCCUGAUCCAGCAAUGCCGCGUGUGUGAUGAAGGCCUUCGGGUUGUAAAGCACUUUUGGCGGGAACGAAAAGGACUGGGCCAAUACCACGGUUCGAUGACGGUACCCGCAGAAUAAGCACCGGCUAACUACGUG